AUAGCACGCAGAGCAGCAAUGGGAUGUCUGAGCACAAGUGGCUGACUUCCAGGCGACUUCAAGAAGCACAUUUGCACAUUUAUCCUGAAUUAAACUGGAAUUCUGCACCCUUGACAUCCUCCUACUCUCCUGGUGUCUGCGGAAGGAAACAGCGACCUGCACAGCACAACAAAACUACAAAUCAUCAGUGAUCUACAGACAAGCAAACGAAGUGAGCUGAGGGCAAUUUAACUACCGCCUUCUGUGUCAGUUCCCCAGAAGUCAAUGAGGCAUACUAUCGGGUCUCCAAGAGAGAGAAAGAGAGAGAAGUUUCGGCAAGUUUUUAUUGUGUGUUAUAAAGAGAGAGGAACAUCCAGGUGCCAGCUGGUGGAAAGGCAGAUGCCACUGAUUGCAAUAGUCUUGCACCAGUUUACAUUGACAGAGUCUGAUCCUAUGUGCAUUAGAGUUACUUUUAGGCACUCACACUGGAACUCACUUCAGUGACAAUUAAAAAUAUAUCCACGCAUGACAUUACAUCCUGUCCCCAAGUGUAUGACUGGAAGCCUGUUGACAGUCUGUGGGAGAGGGCAAGUAGAAGUAGCCAAGAACUAUGUCCAUGAGAUAACUUUGUAAGAGGAGUAUUAACCCUAAUUUUCAGUUGUCUUUUUAUUUUUUUUUUAAUGUGACCGUUUGCCUACAGAAAAAAAAACUCAGCUCCACCUUGCAGUAGCAAUUCAAUGCUUGCAAAGGAAAAAACAAAAUAAACCAUGAUGCUGUAGACCGUGUAGAGUGUCUAAGUAAGUUAAAAAAAGACUGGUCUCAUCAUCUAGAAUUGUAAGAAACCCCCCGAACUGAGAUCUGUUUGUUCAACUAUUUGUUCCUGAAGAUGCAGCUCAUGUAGCAACUGAAGUAAUUGUUUGUCUGUACAGCGCAACACCCAUAACUCCAAUUUAGGUCAGGCCAUCAAGAAGAGGAAAAAGGACUGAAGAUGAGAUGCUCUACUUCACACAGUUGCCCUCUGGAAGGGCUGGCAAAGGCAGUCACUUAAAUUAAGUACAGGUCAUCAGACAGGAUAUCUAAUCUAUUCCUAAAACAGGCAGCUCUCGCAGUCCAAAUCCCUAUGGCCUUUACAGCAACACAACGAACUACUUCCUCAUGUACCUCUGUCAAUUCACGUUAGGUUCCUAUUUUUUUUUAAAGCGAUAUUUCUUGUACACCAUGACCCUAUUGCUCACAGCAAGGAAAGUGCUUUGGUUUAUUUAUGACCUACUAACCUUAAAUAAAAAAACCAUACAUCCAAUCUGAAUGUUCACAUAAGCCUGCAGAUCUGAAAUAAAACUUAAAGUAAAGCUGGCAUUUGUAAUAGCUAGCUAAGCCCAGUAAGGGAUUUAGAAAAAAAAUUAAAAUUAAAACCAGAUGAGAGAAGAUGAAAGCAUUUUUACCCUGCAUAACCUGCACACAUCAUGAAUGAUGGCUGGAGCUCAGGAAUACUUUUUUGUGUUUUUGUACUUACAAGUUUCAACCCACUUCAACAGCGGCUAGGUAACCAAGGAAAUACUGAGGUUUUCCCAUUACAGGGUGGGGAGGGAAUAAUAAUAACCCAUGAAAGUAAUUCCUUUUAAGAUGCAAUCCAUCCAGCCACGAGCUCUACACAGCUCCUCUCUUUCCCUUACACCCCAUCCUAACUGCCAGGUAUCAGUCUGGUCAGACCUCAUAUUGAAAUAUGAUGUGACAGAGGGAAGCAGGGAGUAAGACUGUAGGAAUAAGUACUGAAAGAAAUGGCAUAAAGAAGGAAAGUUUACAGCAGGGAAUAUGGGAAACACAAGUGACCCUAUAUAUGUUUUGCUAGAACAAUGCUGAACAGAUGCAAAUGCAGAAAAGACUAUUCAGUUGAAGAGUUUUAUUCUCUCAUAGCUCACCCUGAUCUAAAGAACACCCUUCCUCUACAUCCAUAGAGUUUAAUUGUGAUACGGUCAGUACAAAUAAGUGGGGAAAAAAAAGGAAAAAUAAAAAUCAAGCUUCAGACCUAAGAUAUCAGCAACAAACAACUCUUGCUGCUGAACCAGCAUCAAAUAAAGGGAGGAGAGAACAUCUCCACCACAGUUGGUUGGAACUAGAACUCACAGAUACUCAUGAUCACAGUGGAAUUCCUAAACAAAAGAAAAAAUCUACUAGAAAGGAGAAAUUUACGUUCCAUUCUUCUGUAGUUCUCCAGCAGGGUAUAUUAAUGCCUCUGUUCUUUAGAUAUAUUUGAUAGAAAUACAGUUAUCUGUACAAGAAGAGUAAUUUGUUGAAAGAAAUAGAUACAAAGUUCUUGACACAGCAUUUGUUUAAAAAAGAAUAUACGCAGGCAGUAUAUUUAUGACCUGAAGUCUUUUGGUGCUACCUCCCUUUAUGGUACUUUAAACAAAAUGAACAGAAAAUAUUUUAUAAAUAUUUUUAUUUAAAUGUAGAAAUCAAUGAGAGAGUACAAACUAGCUUGCCCUCUGGUAAAAGAUUUAACAAGUAGGAACUCCUAGAAUCCAAUGAAUCACUUACCAUUUCAGUGCAGCAAACUAAGAGCAGCCCUAACUAAAUGAACUGAGACCAACAAAGCUGCAAGAGAAUAACCUUCUGCAGGAGAAUUGCUAACAAGCACAAGUAAGGAAAAAUCCCUGUGUUACCAUUCUGUGCCUUGUGCUACAGCUUCAGCACUUCUUCCCAUAAAACAUUAAAAUUGUAACCCUAUAUGUUGUGUGUGUAAAAAUAUAUGUGUAUACAUAGAGUUAAAAGUAUAAGGAAAAAUUAGUUGGAAAGCUCAGAUAGAUGCUGGAAAAAAAGCUUGUGCUACUGUGGAAAUUGCUAUGCACUUCAAUUUGUAAUCAUCAAGUUCUGGAUAUAAACAGGUUGAAGACAAAAAAAGAAACAUGAAAAUAAAUUUAGGUCAUCAAACCUCGAUGUAAACUCAUCAAGAAGUGAAUACUGGCAGAUUUUACUCUGCUUACUUUAUAUUUUUAUUCUACUGGUAAAGUAUAAACUGUAACACUGAUUCACAAUAUUCUUGGCAGGAUCUGUUAAUAAACGGGUGAAACCUUAUGUUUCUGUUUGCUAUGAAGUUCAGUUUUGUAAUAACACAGACAACAUUAAUCAAUCGACUUCUGCCUGGAUGGCCAACAACAUAGUUACGGCUUGAAUAAAUGAAAUACCUUUUCUUUCCAUAGAAAGACAUGUGAGAAGCUGCCAGCUCCAUGCAUGAAGAAGGAAAUGGGAUAGACAGAGAAGGGUGCUGGUACUGACAUUUAAGGAUGCUGUCAAGUCAAUGGAGUUCUCUUGUAGUGGUUGCUUCAGUGAACAUUCAACGCUGUCGGCCUUCACACCGAAGAUAGAAACCUAACCAGCACAUGAGGUUUCUCCCCUACUCUGCCACGCUUUACAAAAAAGGUCACAAUCAACAUUCAUUGCUGUCGGUGGGUUUAACUAUGUGGACAAGCUCACUGAACAAUGAAUGCAACUGUGGCCCCACAUUUUACAGGUGCAUUUGGGAGGAAUGUCAGCUCUGAAAGGAAUAGUGAGAAACAGACAUUUCUUAUAGGUUACGUUUUUCUGGUCAAAAAUUUGUUAAGGAUAUUCAAUUAACUCUUCUUUGUUAUUAAAUGUAUUUAACUAUGUUGACUAAAAAAAAAAAGCACUGCAUUUUUCUGGAAUAUCACCCUCACAGGGUUCAGCACCUCUGAAACUGAAAUAAUGCUUGUUCAGUAUGUAUGUGGAAAAAAGUAAUAAUAUAGAGAACUUGGUAUAUAUGUACUCCUCAGGACUACGCAUAAGAGGAAAGAGUAUUUAAAUGUUAAAUCUUAAUUAACUAGGUAUUAUGGAAUAGUUUACAGAAGUCUCUUCUAUACUUGUCAAGACAAAACCAGAACUUUUCUAGUGGACAGGUAACAGAAAUAGAUGUAUACCCACUAUCAAAUAGUUAAAUCGUAAAAUUACUCUAAACUUCGGUACUUGUGUCACACUCAGUAUUGCUAACACUAAUGAAAAAAUAAAAGUGUAAUUAAAGCUCA